rnacentral:rRNA from 1 species
AAAUUGAAGAGUUUGAUCAUGGCUCAGAUUGAACGCUGGCGGCAGGCCUAACACAUGCAAGUCGAGCGGUAGCACAGAGAGCUUGCUCUCGGGUGACGAGCGGCGGACGGGUGAGUAAUGUCUGGGAAACUGCCUGAUGGAGGGGGAUAACUACUGGAAACGGUAGCUAAUACCGCAUAAUGUCGCAAGAC